rnacentral:rRNA from 1 species
CCUACGGGAGGCAGCAGUCGGGAGUCUUGCACAAUGGGGGAAACCCUGAUGCAGCGACGCCGCGUGCGGGAUGAAGUCCUUCGGGACGUAAACCGCUUUUGUCCGGGAAGAAGUUCUGACGGUACCGGACGAAUAAGCCCCGGCUAACUACGUGCCAGCAGCCGCGGUAAAACGUAGGGGGCGAGCGUUGCCCGGAUUUACUGGGCGUAAAGCGCGCGUAGGCGGCUGCGUAAGUGGGGAGUUAAAGCCCUCGGCGCAACCGAGGAAAUGCUCCUCAAACUGGGGGGCUUGAGGGUAGGAGAGGGGAGUGGAAUUCCCGGUGUAGCGGUGAAAUGCGUUGAUAUCGGGAGGACCACCCGUGGCGUAGGCGGCGUCCUGGCCGACACCUGACGCUGAAGCGCGAAAGCGUGGGGAGCGAACGG